rnacentral:lncRNA from 1 species
UCCUUCCUUCUUUCUUUACUUCCUUCCUUCCUUCCUUCCUUCCUCCUCCCCCGAUAUUCUGUUACAACGGAUAUAACGGAUUUACUUUGAGAAAACAGAACUGGAAUGCAGUUUCUUGCUUAGUUUAAAGUGAACUGCUAAGGGAAACAUGUUUCCCGGACUUCUCAGAUAAACCCUCUGCAAUCUCUUGGGUUCCUUUCUCCGUUCCUUCUUUAAGAACAUUCUCAAAGCUUUCGUCUAUUGGCAUCGGCUUGGUCUCCACAUCUGCUUUUGUUAUUUCUUGGUCUUCAAUUUCAAUUUCUAAGGAUUCCUCAAUUGGAAGUGACACCUCCCCAUCCUGACUUGAUGAUUUCUUCAUGGAGCAGUGGAAAGAACGUAGUCCAGAAAUUAGAAGGUUUUGGUCCAUGGCACAGGAAAUGUCCAGAAAAGAAAAUCUGUACAGUCAGAAAGCAGAUCAGUGUCUUCCUGGGGCUGUCUAUGAGACAAGGACCAACUGUCAAAGAGAACAAGGGAACUUCCUGAAGUGCUGGAGAUGUCCUACACCUAGUCUGUGAUAAUGACUGCACAACUCUGUACAAUUCUAAAAAGAAAUUGAAUUAUAUGCUUACAAUGAAUAAAUUUUAUGGCAUUUAAUUCACACCUCAAUAAAGCUAUUUUUUAAAACUGAAAAAAAAGUCAAUGAUAAAAGAAAAAUAAGAAACAGGGCUGAGUGUGGUGGCUAAAGCCUGUAAUCCCAAUGCUUUGUGAGGCCAAGGCAGGGAGAUUGCUGGAGUCCAGGAGUUUGAGACCAGACUGGGCAACAUAGCAAGACCCUAUCUCUAUAAAAAAUAUUUAAAAAUUAGCUGGGCAUGGCUGAGAUAGGAAGAUCACUUUACCCUAGGAGUUCAAGGCUAUAGUGACUAUGAUUGUGGCACUGCACUCUAGUCUGGGUGAGAGAGAGACUGUCUCUUAAAAAAGAAAAAAAUUAAAAACCGUUAAUAUAAGUCAAAGCACAAUGAACUGCUUCAGUUUUGAGUGCUGACUGAAAGCUAUUGGGAUAAAACAGAGUAGAAGUCAGUGAGAAAGCUGCACAGCCUUAAUCUGAGUCCUAAAAGAUGGGUAAGAUUUGAAUUUGAAAAGGAGAAAAGAGAAAGUAUUAUAGACAAAGGAAAUAGCACAAGCAAAGGAAAAAUAAUAGUGCGUAUGGGACAAGUGAAGCAGCUGUAUUUGCCACAGCAUAAUGAGGAAUGCACAGAUAGAUGCAACAGGAUCCGGUUAUGGAAAUACAGGAAAAUGGGGCAGAAAAGGAAGGGAUUCUAAGAAAGCCAGAAAAAAAUUGUUACUUUAUUUUGCACUUAAAAUGAACCCAGGAAGCCAUGGUUUGUGUUGUCUGAAAAGAUAAACAUGGCAAAUAAAAAUGCCUGUGAAGAAAUUGUACUCUACAAGUAGCAGGAAAUACUCAGUAACUUCAUAGGUGUAUAUAAUAAACAAUCAGCUUGUGGCUUGAAGUCUAAAAUCAAAUUGCAAGACAUCAUGAAUUACCUGGGAAUAAAGGAUGCACUUGCCACCUUUCUAAAUAAUUAAUUUUAUUGUUACUUCUAAUAAAAAGGCAAGACGAAUUAACGAAAGCCAAAUCUUAAUGAGUUUACUGCUCCAAGCACAAUGUUAAAUGCUCCCCCUCCAACUUUUGUUAACAGAAAUCUUUUAAAACCCUAUUCACAUUUUACUGAAUCAUGCACAGCUUUGAUUUGUAGAAAGGGCAGAUUCUUUUCAGUCCAGCUAAAUUGCUAAGAUUGCUGAACCACAAGUCAACUCUGAGCCACCCAACUUUUCAAUUUUGAACAAUUACUUUCCUGGCAAUCAAGGGCAAGCUGAGACAAAAUUAUUGCAUCGACAGGAUUCAAUUAUUUAAGUCCCCAUUCCAUGCUAUUAUUCAAGACUGUCCAAUGCCGUAACAAAACAUCCCAGCAUCAAUAUGUAUGCAAAAUAACACUGACUCAAGUGACACCCUUUUUCCCAUAACCUUUGGUUUUUCACUCUCAUCACAGAGUGUACAUCAUCUACCAGAGAAUCAUUUAGCUAAGCCUCAUUCUUUUUUCAUUUGUAUCUAUCACAUUUUCCAGCAAAUAGAUGUUUUAUAUGCAUUUUGUUGAAUAAAGUGUGAUCUAAAGUCCAGGACAGUUUUCAUCACAUUAAUUCCGACUUUACAGCUAAUUUCAGCAUUCUCCUAAAUCAAUAGCUGAAAGUUAUACUUUAAAAAAAUAAGUGUAUGUAUCUAUGCCACUAUCAUUAGGGGUUUCAUCCCACUUAUAUCAUGAAAAUGUAGGAAACUCCAUGCUACUCAGAAUAGCUCACUGGGGCUGCCUGGAACUGAUCAAGGGCCUUGCACCUAGCCAGGGGCUCGGGAUUUGCUCUCGACUCUGGUCAGAGUGUUACCUUGGGGAGCCACUCCACCUCUGGAAUCAUCUCAUUUUCCUCAACUACAAAACAAAAGGAAUGAACUCUGGAAUGCUACAGCAAAAUAAACAAGGUAAAUUGCAUUCCUACCAAAUACAUAAAAUGGAAAUGGAAAAAAACAGUUUCUGACAUCAUUGAGCAUCAUAUUGUGUUUCACUUUAAGUUGAAACUAUCAUUUAAGUGUUUACCAUUUUUGUGAUGGAAAGUUUUACAUAUGUAAUUCCUCAAUAUGAAUUUAUAGUCUCUCUUUAAGGACAUGAAUUUUAUUUUAAGUAAUAGUCACUGUCUUCAAUUAAUGAGGGAAAUCAGAAAGACUAAAAGUAAAAAUUCCAUGUUUGUCCCCAAUUCUCCCCGUAACUCCUACCAAGAUUAUCCAAAUACGUAUAUUUCUUUUAAUUAGUAAAAAUGCUAUUACUUUUUGGACCCAGUUUCUUAAGCAAGGAAGUAACAAUAUAACCCUGUAAACACUAUUUCUUUUCACUGCUGCUCCCUUGAACUAAAUAUUGAAGAAAAACAUUACAGUAUAAUUUGCAAAAACCUACAUUGCAUAUAAACAUUAUCCUAUGCUGACAAACGUGGAUUUAUGAUCAAAUGAAAGCAAAAAUGUACUAAAAAGCUAUUUAGCCAAAUUCUCCACCAAGUUAUUUAGGUGUGAUUCACCCUGCAGUUUAUUGGAUUUGUGAUUUUAUCUCAACAUACCUCUAAAGAACAAAUUUCCAAUCUGGUAUUUUUCUCUUAGAAUAAUGUAUGGCAUAAUUCACUAUGGCAAGCCAAAUAGUUAACUUGGAAUUUCGGGGACAGCUUAUUCGUGCAACAUUUUAAUGAUCAUAUAUCUCCAUCCCAAAAUUAAUCUGUUACCAGGUUAAAUCACUCCAAAUCCUUUCUUCCACAAUCUGCGAGAGUAAUUGCUGCUUCAGUUUCAAUCAUAGAGCAGUAAAUCUAGAUUUACUUUUAGGCAGCUGGUUUAUAAGUCCCUGGAUAUGCAUAAUUUCAUAAAGUGAUUGAAGUCAUUUUGAUAUUAUAUCAACAGCAGCUUAUCUAUAACAUCAACU